UAAAAGGAAAAGGCAAGC
rnacentral:piRNA from 1 species